UAUUAAUCUCAAACAUAGUAAACAUUUUCAGUUUGGUGGAUAGAUCACUUAAGUUAUUUGGGCUUUUAUAUUUUAAAAAUGCAGUUGAGUUACAAAUUCAGCUGUUUCAAAUGUCAAACUCAGUUUGAAAUUUGA